AUUGAACGCUGGCGGCAGGCCUAACACAUGCAAGUCGAGCGGUGCGCCUGGAUGGUGAGUAAUGCCUGGUGAUCUGCCUGGUCGUGGGUGAGAUCGUCCGGAAUCGGGCGCUAAUACCGCAUACUAUCAGAUGAGCCUAGGUCGGAUUAGCUAGUUGGUGGGGUAAAGGCCUACCAAGGCGACGAUCCGUAACUGGUCUGAGAGGAUGAUCAGUCACACUGGAACUGAGACACGGUCCAGACUCCUACGGGAGGCAGCAGUGGGGAAUAUUGGACAAUGGGCGAAAGCCUGAUCCAGCCAUGCCGCGUGUGUGAAGAAGGUCUUCGGAUUGUAAAGCACUUUAAGUUGGGAGGCGUUACCAACAGAAUAAGCACCGGCUAACUUCGUGCCAGCAGCCGCGGUAAUUC
rnacentral:rRNA from 1 species